rnacentral:rRNA from 1 species
ACGCUCGACACCUACGAGGAGGCAGCGAGUGGGGAAUAUUGCACGAAUGGGGGAAACCCUGAUGCAGCGACGCCGCGUGAAGGAAGUAAGUAUUUCGGUAUGUAAACUUCUAUCAGCAGGAGAACUGACGGUACCUGACUAAGAAGCACCGGCUAAAUACGUGCCAGCAGCCGCGGUAAUCUGAGCGGCUGGCAAGGC